rnacentral:rRNA from 1 species
GUAGGUGGCAAGCGUUGUCCGGAAUUAUUGGGCGUAAAGCGCGCGCAGGUGGUUCUUUAAGUCUGAUGUGAAAGCCCCCGGCUCGAACCGGGGAGGGUCAUUGGAAACUGGGGAACUUGAGUGCAGGAGAGGAAAGUGGAAUUCCACGUGUAGCGGUGAAAUGCGUAGAUAUGUGGAGGAACACCAGUGGCGAAGGCGACUUUCUGGCCUGUAACUGACACUGAGGCGCGAAAGCGUGGGGAGCAAACAGGAUUAGAUACCCUGGUAGUCCACGCCGUAAACGAUGAGUGCUAAGUGUUGGGGGGGUUUCCGCCCCCUCAGUGCUGCAGCUAACGCAUUAAGCACUCCGCCUGGGGAGUACGGUCGCAAAGACUG